UACAGAGGGUGCAAGCGUUAAUCGGAAUUACUGGGCGUAAAGCGUGCGUAGACGGUCAUGUAAGUCGGGUGUGAAAGCCCCGAGCUCAACCUGGGAAUUGCAUUCGAGACUGCAUGGCUAGGAUGCGGAAGAGGGAAGCGGAAUUUCCGGUGUAGCGGUGAAAUGCGUAGAUAUCUGGAGGAACACCGGUGGCGAAGGCGACGUCCUGGACCGGCAUUGACGCUGAGGCGCGACAGCGUGGGGGAGCAAACAGGA
rnacentral:rRNA from 1 species